GAUGAACGCUGGCGGCGUGCUUAACACAUGCAAGUCGAACGAUGAAGCCCAGCUUGCUGGGCGGUUUAGUGGCGAACGGGUGAGUAACACGUGAGUAACCUGCCCUUGACUCUGGGAUAAGCCCGGGAAACUGGGUCUAAUACCGGAUAGGAGCGCCUGUCGCAUGACGGGUGCUGGAAAGAUCUUUCGGUCAUGGAUGGACUCGCGGCCUAUCAGCUUGUUGGUGAGGUAACGGCUCACCAAGGCGACGACGGGUAGCCGGCCUGAGAGGGUGACCGGCCACACUGGGACUGAGACACGGCCCAGACCCCUACGGGAGGCAGCAGUGGGGAAUAUUGCACAAUGGGCGAAAGCCUGAUGCAGCGACGCCGCGUGAGGGAUGACGGCCUUCGGGUUGUAAACCUCUUUCAGCAGGGAAGAAGCGAAAGUGACGGUACCUGCAGAAGAAGCACCGGCUAACUACGUG
rnacentral:rRNA from 1 species